GUUGACUGGAUUUUAAAAUUUCUCCUACCAUCUCCAUAUGAUGAUUUUUUCCCCCUCACAAAAUCCUUCUUUAUGAAGUGAGAUUUCUUUCUUCUUGCCUCUUCUGAAGAUUACAAAUGCCAUGGCCCCCGAUGAUCCCACCCAGCGUAUUUCUGGUGAAUAUCAUGACAACUGUAACAAUGCAGUCUGUCAAGCGCAUCCCUGUCCGAAAGCCACCAGAGAGGAUCUCAGGAAUUUUGAUACAUGCUGCAUACGUACGGCAUACAACUCUAUGACUGCAGUUCUGUUUGGUUGAAAUUUUGAAACCUUUUGAAAGAAGUAUCAACACAGAUGAUCCUGUCAACUGACAUGAAAACACUGACUAGAACACAGUACCUCAUGUAGUGGCUAGUUUAA